UGCUUACACAUGCAAGUCGAACGAUGAACCGCUUUCGGGCGGGGAUUAGUGGCGAACGGGUGAGUAACACGUGGGCAAUCUGCCCUGCACUCUGGGACAAGCCCUGGAAACGGGGUCUAAUACCGGAUAUGACCGUCUGCCGCAUGGUGGAUGGUGUAAAGCUCCGGCGGUGCAGGAUGAGCCCGCGGCCUAUCAGCUUGUUGGUGAGGUAGUGGCUCACCAAGGCGACGACGGGUAGCCGGCCUGAGAGGGCGACCGGCCACACUGGGACUGAGACACGGCCCAGACUCCUACGGGAGGCAGCAGUGGGGAAUAUUGCACAAUGGGCGAAAGCCUGAUGCAGCGACGCCGCGUGAGGGAUGACGGCCUUCGGGUUGUAAACCUCUUUCAGCAGGGAAGAAGCGAAAGUGACGGUACCUGCAGAAGAAGCGCCGGCUAACUACGUGCCAGCAGCCGCGGUAAUACGUAGGGCGCAAGCGUUGUCCGGAAUUAUUGGGCGUAAAGAGCUCGUAGGCGGCUUGUCACGUCGGUUGUGAAAGCCCGGGGCUUAACCCCGGGUCUGCAGUCGAUACGGGCAGGCUAGAGUUCGGUAGGGGAGAUCGGAAUUCCUGGUGUAGCGGUGAAAUGCGCAGAUAUCAGGAGGAACACCGGUGGCGAAGGCGGAUCUCUGGGCCGAUACUGACGCUGAGGAGCGAAAGCGUGGGGAGCGAACAGGAUUAGAUACCCUGGUAGUCCACGCCGUAAACGGUGGGCACUAGGUGUGGGCAACAUU
rnacentral:rRNA from 1 species